UUUGAAGAGUAGUUGUCUCUCAAAAAGUAAGUUUGAAGAGUUAUAUGUCUGGAAAAAUAAUUUGAUAAUUUAGAAAUGGGAAUGCUGUAAAUAUGGCCCUUUUUUCAGGACCCCUUGGUGUUCCAAAUCCAUAGUCAGCAGAAAAAAAGGCAUCACAUGGAAGGCAAUCAAAGAGACUCGCAGGGCGCUCUUGGUAUUCUCUUCUAGCAUAAGCCUACAAAAAGGCAUGCUGAUUGGUACAUUAUUUCAAGCCAUGCUUGCUAACUGGUACAGAAUUUUGUAUGUCCAACCUAUCGGCCAUACAGCUUAUUCUUAAAAGAAGGCUUUCCAAAGAGCUGCCUUCUUUU
rnacentral:lncRNA from 1 species